UCCUUAGUUGCCAUCAUUCAGUUGGGCACUCUAGGGAGACUGCCGGUUAUAAGCCGCAAGGAAGGUGUGGAUGACGUCAAGUCCUCAUGGCCCUUACGGGAUGGGCUACACACGUGCUACAAUGGCGGUGACAGUGGGACNCGAAGGAUCGAUCUGGAGCAAAUCCCCAAAAGCCGUCUCAGUUCGGAUUGCACUCUGCAACUCAAUUGCAUGAAGGCGGAAUCGCUAGUAAUCGUGGAUCACCAUGCCACGGUGAAUACUUUCCCGGGCCUUGUACACACCGCCCGUCNCACCAUGGGAGUUGGUCUUACCCGACGGCGCUGCGCCAACCGCAAGGGANGGCAGGCGACCAC
rnacentral:rRNA from 1 species